AAGUCGUAACAAGGUUUCCGUAGGUGAACCUGCGGAAGGAUCAUUACCAAAUUUAAUCCAAAACACUCAACCCAUGUGCACGAUGACAUUGUCUGUCCUUGGGGUGGCUGAUACUUUUCUUAGUUGUAAAGCUAUUAGUGUUGCCCCAACAUUGUUUAACCCUUUUUUUUAUUUUUAUUGGCAUUUUGUCUUAAAAAACAUUAAAUGGACAACUUUUAACGGUGGAUCUCUUGGCUCGUG
rnacentral:misc_RNA from 1 species